CGCGCCCCCGCUUGGGGCGGGCGGGUUGAGCGGAGGUGAAGAUGGCGGCGGCGGUGGAAGGAAUUAGCAGAGAAGGAGAAGGCUGAAGGCAGGAGUGAAUCGGAGUUUCCGCAGGGGAAUAUCGGAGAGAGGGGAGUCCGGUUUAGAGAUGACGAUGAAAACGUGGAUUAUCGCGGCCCGGACGGCCGGCAAGCAACAGUUGGUUCCUUGCUGCCAGUACCGAAAGCCGUUUGAUAUCUGGGUUACAAAGCCAUCACUGCGGAAUGGAACUCUGGCACAAUUCUGCUGGGAAGUUGCCACAGCAAGAUCCCUUCCCUAUCCCAUCUCUUUUGUUUUAAGAAGCAGCCAGAUCUGAAAUGACCUGGAUUGAUGACUGACUAUUCUGGGUUGUAGCUUUGUGCUGUUUACUAUCUCAAUAGGAAUGGCAAUGUGAUGCUGAUCACUGACCUCUGAGCUGCACCAAGACCUUCAACCACCAUCCCCCUGCCCCCAUGAACCACCAUUCCCCUGCCAUCCCGAGUACUGGUCAAAUACAAUGCCACGCUGCUACUUCAAGUUCACAGAACUGUGACUCUUGAGAGGUCUGGUGUCUAACCCAUAAUGCUGACUUACCCAAAGACAGAAACUGCCAAUGUUUAGUGUCAAGCUUGAGUUUAAAGAGAUUCCAGCCAGGUUGUGGCACAUGUCCAAAACUGAACCUGGGUGCUGAGGAUGGCAGUCAUGUUGGGCCUCCUGUGGUUGGAUAUAAUGAUCAAGGUGCCCAUGUCGGGGAAGAAUGUGUUUAGCUUCAUGGCUAUUUGAUCUCUGUGUGAAUUCUCUUUUAAAAAUAACUCAAUUUGCCCCUGCCCUGGUGUGUGGCAAACUUAGUGUAAGCUUCUCGUCACAAGAGGCUGUGCCAAGCAGCUUAUCUGCCCAGACAUUGCUGCUCUGCAUCUUUGCUUAUGAGUGCGCAUUUAAUGACCUUCCAUUUACAACACACGAUUAGACACCAUUGCAUCUGAAGUUAAGCUUUCCAUGUAUUUAGUUGCCAGUGCUUGCUCGCCUCUUGGUGACUUCACUAUAAUGACUCAAAUUUUUUUUUUUGAUCUAAUGGCUGAUCUAGCGUCUGAUUGCUGCUUUGGAUUCAAAACCACCGGGUAUUUAAGAAUGUGCUGGGAAGAAACUGAACCUGUCCAUAACAGACCUGGCACUGAGCUCACUGUUAGUACUUACUUCCCAUUAACUGCUUGCCACCCUCGCUGAGAUUAAAUUAAAAAGCACUCCAGCCGCUCCUGUUGCACCCCCAGCAGCGCAAAACUUUUUUUAAAAAGCACUGCACGUACACAGUGAGGCCACAAGCCAAUUACUGUCAAAGCUGCCCUGAAUCUCUUACCUGAAAUACUAACUUUUUUUUCUCUUUUGGAUGUGACUGAGUUGCUGGGUGUUUGCAGCAUUUUCUACAAAUUGUCUCUGAACUGACCACGUAGAUAGAGCACUAAGGAUUGGCCAUUGGGACAUUGCAUGUCAUCUGAGCUGUGAAAGGCUGAGCACAAAGCUGUGAACAUCGAUGAUCAGUUAACACUGAAAAUAAGAGUGCUGGUCAGCUGAGCAGUGUGUGUACAAUGGGUACAGUGGGUGCACUCCUUAUGCCAGCUGUAAAGGAUGCCUAUGGCAGACCUGGGAAAAACCUUCUGUGUGCGGAGCAGAAGGAAAUGGUUAUUUUUUCAUUUUUCUCAUAAUCUGGCAAAAACAAGCCUGUGAAGGUUUUCUGAAUCCAUGAGGGAAUUUUGUGCCUCUCCAUGGAGUUGUGCUAUUGGAUUUCUUGCAUCCAAGAUCAAAACAACAGCAGUAAGAGACCUGUUUAGUAGAGAGCUGUAGGCUCCAGUAUCUACUGCAAGAUUGGGCAGUGCAGGAUUCGUGUUAUGGGCAGUGUGCAACAUUUUGUUGCAUCCUAGGUAAUGGUGAUCCCAUUGGAUAUCAGGUCACCGUGGCCAGUCUGCAGGACCAAUUACAUCAUGCAAAUCCCUGAUCCACAGCAGCAAAAAAGCUUCAUCAAUCACAUGGAGACUAAAUUUUUUCUUUAAGUAUUGGGAGGUAAUUUCCCCAAAACCUUUAGCCUGCAUGAGAAGUUUCCUAUAUGUGAGGGCAGAGCAACAGACAUCAGAAUAAAAUCAGUGGCCUCUUCAGCCAGUCUCGUUCUCACCAAUAUCAGCCCCUAAUGGCUUUGCUGGGACUGAUCUAUGUUGUUUCCGAGCCCUGUUAGACUAGCAAUAGUGGAAGCAUUGGGGCUGGAGUGGAGUUUUGAGCUGUCUGUACAUAGCGCAGUGUCAGUAGAGUAGAGUGCUAUCUUUUUCCCCCUAAUUUUUAGGUCUUUUUCAAACUUGCAUUUUUGUUUAAGUUUUAAUUUUUCAUUUAGAUAAAAGUUCGGGCUGUGCAAUACUAUAACGUGAAAAAUAAGUGUCACGACAAGUUUUUAAAAAAAAAACAGAACAACAAAAUCACCAAUGUCUUCCAUUUGGAGAUGUAUAGUUCCACGCCACUUUAGUGCUUCAGUAGCAGCUGUAGUGCCAAACCUUAGAGGCAGUGCAUGAGGUUAGCGGAGCUUGCCAUGAGCGGUUUAACCGAAAAUAUUUUUUUAACAGGGCGUAGCUUAAUGAACUAACCAGGGUUCAGGUUUAUCCAGCAAGCUGGCUUGAGGAAUGUCAGGAUAGAAAUCAGAGUCUCAUAGCCGUGUUUUCGAUCUCCCAUCUCUUCUGUUGAGUUUAGUGAUCACAGUGAAUCCUGAUGCUUGAGAUUAUCAAUCACUAGCUUAGAUUUAAGGGAAGACAGUGAUUCUUUAUACAGAGCUUUAGAAAACCUAUUGAUGUGGUCUGCCCAGCAGCUGGAGUAGACAAGCAUCCAACCUUGCGUUCCUUGAACUGAAUAGAUUGUAAUGGUUAUCUGAACAAUUACCAGCAGCUUCUGGAAACCAUUUGAUACUCUUUGAGCUAGUGGAACAUCUUUAUAGAACCUUGGGGUGAUGGUUGAGGGAAGCUUCGGCUCCACUUAAUUCUCUGUUGUGCAGAUUGUAUCUAUUGCUUGUAUGUAAGACAGUGAGACCCACCUGCCUGUAGUGUUUAUAUAACAGUGCCCAGCAGUACUUGUAUUUAUGCUGUAGCUGUACUGUCAAUGUAGAAUGGUUUUGUCUUCAUUGAGAUGGCAGUUACAGUGUAAACACAACCUGACUCUGGACUUGGUGAGGCUCCCUGGGAUGGAGAAGGAUCUUUGCUUCAGCGUAAACCUGUGCCCAACUUACAUAAUACAAGUUAGGCUUUGGUUGAAGCUGAAACCUCUGCCCUUGAUAGUGACCUUGCUGUGUGAAUGCAGCCCUAAUGAGGCAGUAAAUUAACUCUUUGUACUUAACGCCGCCUGAAAGCAAUGCCUGGAGCUGGCCUGGCCACUGGUGGGAUUCACUCUAAUUCUAUAACACCAGGGCAGGAGCCACCGACUGUCGAUUUAGGUACACAGUCAAUUGACUUAUCCUGUUGUUCUGUGAUCCUUUGCAGCGAGGACACUGGGGUUUACUACCAUUUAGUGAGCAUCACGGGACCUUCCAGGAGGCUUUUUUUUUGCUGAUAUACAAAACCUGACUUGCAACAUCCCUCAUGCUGGCUGAGACUAACUUCACAGAGAUCAGAUUGUAGUAUAACUGUCACUUCAUUUUUUUUUAAAGUAGAUAGCGCUUUGCAAAAUAAUUCAGCUUUGGGUAAGAUUAUUAAAUACCUCCUGGGUUUCACCUGCAAAUGAAACUCUUAGCACAAAUUGUAGUCACAUUAAAAUGCAAAUAAAGCCAUAUGAUUUUAGAGUAUGUGCCAUUAGUAGCAAUAACUGUUGUACAUGUGUUAGUGAUGCUGUACCAAUAUAGGAGAGGAGGGGCUUGGAGAGAAGUGGUUGAAAAAUGACCAAACAGACCUCAACCUAGUUAUUCUGGAACAGGCUGACUUGUAGUGUUAGAAACCUUUGAACUAGGGGCACUGGCAUUGCUCUGUUCUGGCUGCAGUUAGAUGAGCCAGCAAUACCUGUGACAUCAAGGGUUUAAUGCUUGAACAAUUCCUGGCAGCCACCAUCUAAGCUCCUCGAGGAAGUUGGAAGCAGCGCUGCAGGACCCAUACACAUCAGAAAGUGGGCAGGAGGAGAAACAGGACAAUACCCAAAGCAGGCCCGUCACAGGAAUUUCAAAUCUGAGCACAGCAGACUUUCCAUUGACUGCAAGUGCUCCUUUUUAUUGGGUCAGGUGUCUAUCUGAGCUACCAAGAGUCUACUAUCCAUCAACACAUCAGGUUCGGAGCUUGCCGCUGAGCAGAUUUGGGUGCAAGUAUCAGGAAUUCAACUGGAAAGCAUCCACGGAGCUUCGAACUGACCACAAGAAUCCAGGGCAAAGAAGGCUGAGUUGUUAAUUAUGCAUGUUCAAAAUGUAUUAUAUACAGUAGCUAGGUCUGUAAUGAAAUCAGUCCAAUGUUUAAUUAUGCAUUAACAGACACUGAGCAAUAGGAAUUAAAAUAUACGGCAGAUGUAUCAUCCUGUUCAUUAUCGUUCAGCUGGCAAAGCUGAUUUUGUUGUAAAGAGAUGAAGAGAAUGAGGCAAUGUGCUGUACAGCUGGGAGAACAGUUACUAUAAGGAGACUAAGACAGGAGAGGGAGCAUCGGUGUUUCCAUUGUGAAUCUGGACCAUUUUCACUCUGCUGCUGGCUUGCUGAGGUUCACAGGUUGUAGAUGUGUUUGAUUGUUUUUUUUUUCCCUUUUUUAUCACUGUAUCAGGCCACUGGCCACUUCCACUCAGAAGUGGAAGCCAUGAUCAGGCCUCAGUUCCAGCUAGGGGGCUGUUGAACAAAAUGCAGGUGCAUUUCUAUAAGGAUGGAACAUUCCACAGUGGUGAACAAAAGUCAGGCAUCUGUUCCCUCUUGUGGAGGUUGUUUUGCCUAAUUUCCUCAGAGUGGAAUCUGUUUUCUCUCCAUUUCCCUCUGCUGUGGGUAGUGGGGUCUAUUCUCUCCUUUGCCCCAUUUCUAGGGACCGUUGGUAGUGGGGUCUUCCAACACCUUGAGGUAUAAGUAGUGGUAUCUGUUUCCCCCUUCUGAGCUUGUAGCCUUUGAUGGAGUGAGAUAAAGAUUCACAGCAGAAGUAUGUGGAAGGACAGUGUUAGGCAGCUUCUUCAGCUCCUGUAGGUUUGGCUUUUGGUACUUGGGCACUUGGCUACUCUCUCUGUAGACCUUUUAUUCUGCAGUGCUGUUCAGGAGUAGAUCCGUCCCUGUUUAUUAGACUAGCCCUAUACUCUCAUCUUAUCCUUAAUCACAUUGGGAUCUGCCUGGGAGUUAUUGGGGAAGUGUAGAGGGAGCUUUACUCUCCAUCUAACCUCUGCUGUAUUUGCCUUGGGAGUAUUCGAAGGAACGUUAGAUGAGAGCAGCUAAAAAUGUCCUAUUCCCCAGCAGUGUCAUCCUUCCCUUUGGGUCCCAUAUGGGCACUGGCCAUGUUGUUGACUAGUGUACUUUCAGAUGCACAUUGGUUUACGCUGCGUGUUGAUCAAUUCUAAAAUCUGAAUCAGAAACUUCAUUAGUGGGCAAUCUGUUCAUUGGCUGAAGCCUUACUCAGGCGAAUACAUCACAUAGCUGGGCUAGGUACCUGUAAUCUGUCACACGCUCCCAUCCCAGUGCUAACACCUAUACUGACUGAUUCAAGUUGGCAUGGGUCAUGCCCUUUGCAGCACAAUGCCUCAGACCUCAGAUCUCUGUUCAAUAAGCCAGCGCUGUGCUGGGUUUAUAAUAUUCUGCUGUCUAAAUUUGUUAUUUGAAUUUUUUUAUGGAAUUACAGUGCUAAAUGUUUUCUAGAUGCAUGAGGCAGCUUGCAUUAAACUAUGCAUUUCAGAGAGAAGGGAUGAGAAUUGCAUGAAUCACUCACUGCUGUAGAAUGAUCCCUGGAGCAGUUUGAUUGCUCUAACUUCACCUCUGUACAGAACUAACAGCAAUAAAAGACCCGUGUGCCAAGGGUGCACCAGUGUUUA